CACUGAAGGAGUAACAUGCUGGAGCAUU
rnacentral:piRNA from 1 species